ensembl:lncRNA
CAGGCAACUAAAAGUUGUUCCCAUACAGCAAUGCCACAGGUGACUACACGUGGGGAGACAGUACAGCCAGCUUAAACAACAACAACCACACUAAAUCCUAACAACAAACAACAACAACAACCCACAAGCGUUUAGAGCAACUAUACCAGCUAAACUGUAGUAGACUUGGAGGUUGAAAUGCCCUGCUAGCAGUCAUCAGUAUUCUUCUCCAGAUGGACUUGUUUUGCAAAGCAGAGCAUUGAUGUUAGCUAAGUCUUUAGUGCUUCACUGAUGGUUGCCAAUAUGCAUCUCCUGUCUGAGUUCUUCCUGUUUUUGUUUUCCUUUUCAAGCCUCAGCAGUAAGCAAUAACUUUUUUCUUGCUGCUUUGCGGAUGUUGUCUGUGUGGGGGGUAAUUAUAAGGUAAAUUAUGUGUAAGUCAAUGUAAUGUAUACCAGAAGUGCACAGUAAAAUACUUAAGUAAUAGUAGAUGGGGGAGAGAGUGGAUUCCUGGACAAUAUCUGCAAACACAAUGUGAUAGUUUGAUAAUUUGGUGCUGUGUAGUUUUGCAGGCCUGCUACAGUGUUCUCUAGAAAUAUGUUUUCAGGCUUUUUUACUUUUGUAGAUCUUGUGGUUCUGUCCUCAUUGAGGACAACCCUUAAAUUAGGGCUUCAGCCCAAAGCUGAGGCCACUGGGUUGGAUUGUUCCACAGCAAUGGAAUGAGGGACAACGGAUAUUCCACACAGGCUCACCUCACAUCGGUCACAGCUGUACCAAGCUGAGAUGACGAAGCCUCCAUUGCUCAGGAAGGACACCAUGAAAAGGGAGUACUGUCUAAAUGUCUCUGCAGCUCCAGUUAAUGUGAGCUUCACUGGGUUUCUGUACAUCCUACCAUUGUUUUCCAAUACUGGAGCUUCAACUUUUAACUGUUUUUUCUUUUCUUGUAAAGUUUUGAACUUUUAAGUGAGUGUCUUGGAAGCUGUUCCCACAUAGUCUUCACGUUGACUUAACAGAAGGUUUCUACUACUGAUUCUAGAAAAUCUACAAACUUUCACAUGACAGUUUCACAGCAAACUGUACGGGCUUAGAAUUUUGACUCGGAGGGAUUUGUGGUAAUUUCAUUUCUGAACAUUCUCUUCAAAAUCAAGAACAGGAGGAGAAAACCAGUAAAGCCCCUUCAGAUCAGAAGGGACAGCCCAGGUGGAGGUGGCUGCUGUGGGGCUGUGGUAUAGGUAAUAUAUAUUUCCCAAAUGAGAGGUGUAUGCUACCAGCUGAUGGGUCAUAUUUUGCUCAUCCUCUACUCCAAUUCCUACUGGAAGUUGCCCAAAUAAACAGUUGAAAUGCAAUAGAAGCACCUAUUUGAUUUUGAGGAGCUUAAUGAAAGCCAUCUUAAAGGCACCUGAUUUUAGGGAAUAGACGCUCAUGGUUCUGCACUCUGUGAAAAAGAGGAAGGUCUUUCAGGCUGGUCAUCCAGUAACUGAAGCAUUCAAAAUAACUCAUCUGUUUUCAAGAAUCUUGGCUUAAAACAUCUUCCCCCUCCCCCCCCCCCCCCCCCCCCCCCCGAUUCCUUUUACAUCUAAGCAAAUGCUUUACUUGUCCUGGGGAUACUGCGUGUAUUGCACAUUCUUCAUGCUAA